UACGUAGGGUGCAAGCGUUAAUCGGAAUUACUGGGCGUAAAGCGUGCGCAGGCGGCUUUGCAAGACAGAUGUGAAAUCCCCGGGCUUAACCUGGGAACUGCAUUUGUGACUGCAUGGCUAGAGUGCGGCAGAGGGGGAUGGAAUUCCGCGUGUAGCAGUGAAAUGCGUAGAUAUGCGGGAGGAACACCGAUGCGAAGGCAAUCCCCUGGGCCUGCACUGACGCUCAUGCACGAAAGCGUGGGGAGCAAAC
rnacentral:rRNA from 1 species